UGGGGAAUAUUGGACAAUGGGCGCAAGCCUGAUCCAGCCAUGCCGCGUGUGUGAAGAAGGCCCUCGGGUUGUAAAGCACUUUAAGCGAGGAGGAAGGUCAUCAUACUAAUAUUAUGAUGAAUUGACGUUACUCGCAGAAUAAGCACCGGCUAACUCUGUGCCAGCAGCCGCGGUAAUACAGAGGGUGCAAGCGUUAAUCGGAAUUACUGGGCGUAAAGCGCGCGUAGGCGGUUUGUUAAGUCGGAUGUGAAAUCCCUGGGCUCAACCUAGGCACUGCAUCCGAUACUGGCUGACUAGAGUGUGGGAGAGGAAGGUAGAAUUCCAGGUGUAGCGGUGAAAUGCGUAGAGAUCUGGAGGAAUACCGAUGGCGAAGGCAGCCUUCUGGCCUAACACUGACGCU
rnacentral:rRNA from 1 species